GUGCUCAGUUCAGCAGCACAUAUACUAAAAUUGGAACAAUACAGAUAUUAACAUGGCCCCUGUGCAAGGAUGACACACAAAUUCAUGAAGUGUUCCAGAUUCUU
ensembl:snRNA Gm24254 predicted gene, 24254